rnacentral:rRNA from 1 species
AGCAAUUAUACCGUGAAACUGCGAAUGGCUCAUUAAAUCAGUUAUCGUUUAUUUGAUAAUACCUUACUACUUGGAUAACCGUGGUAAUUCUAGAGCUAAUACAUGCUGAAAAUCCCGACUUCGGAAGGGAUGUGUUUAUUAGAUAAAAAACCAAUGCCCUUCGGGGCUUUUUGGUGAUUCAUGAUAACUUUACGGAUCGCAUAGCCUUGCGCUGGCGACGGUUCAUUCAAAUUUCUGCCCUAUCAACUUUCGAUGGUAAGGUAUUGGCUUACCAUGGUUUCAACGGGUAACGGGGAAUUAGGGUUCGAUUCCGGAGAGGGAGCCUGAGAAACGGCUACCACAUCCAAGGAAGGCAGCAGGCGCGCAAAUUACCCAAUCCCGACACGGGGAGGUAGUGACAAUAAAUACUGAUACAGGGCUCUUUUGGGUCUUGUAAUUGGAAUGAGUACAAUUUAAACCUCUUAACGAGGAACAAUUGGAGGGCAAGUCUGGUGCCAGCAGCCGCGGUAAUUCCAGCUCCAAUAGCGUAUAUUAAAGUUGUUGCAGUUAAAAAGCUCGUAGUUGAAACUUGGGCCUGGCUGGCGGGUCCGCCUCACCGCGUGCACUCGUCCGGCCGGGCCUUCCUUCUGAAGAACCUCAUGCCCUUCACUGGGCGUGUUGGGGAAUCAGGACUUUUACUUUGAAAAAAUUAGAGUGUUCAAAGCAGGCCUUUGCUCGAAUACGUUAGCAUGGAAUAAUAAAAUAGGGCGUGCGUUUCUAUUUUGUUGGUUUCUAGAGACGCCGCAAUGAUUAACAGGAACAGUCGGGGGCAUCAGUAUUCAGUUGUCAGAGGUGAAAUUCUUGGAUUUACUGAAGACUAACUACUGCGAAAGCAUUUGCCAAGGAUGUUUUCAUUAAUCAGUGAACGAAAGUUAGGGGAUCGAAGACGAUCAGAUACCGUCGUAGUCUUAACCGUAAACUAUGCCGACUAGGGAUCGGGCGAUGUUCUUUUUCUGACUCGCUCGGCACCUUACGAGAAAUCAAAGUUUUUGGGUUCUGGGGGGAUUAUGGUCGCAAGGCUGAAACUUAAAG